AGCCUGUGAAAGCAGUUGCCAGGCCACUCUGCUGAUGGGAAAUUAGCCUCACCCACUAUUUGUUAUUAAAUGGAACAGCUAGGAGAACCAAAUGGAGAUCACAUUACUUUCUAAAAUUAUUAUUAUUUUUGGAGGUGGCUUUACAAUGGCAAGGAGGGAAGGGUGAAACCAAUCUCUUUAACCAGCUGAGUCAUGACUCCUGGAAACCUUUAAUGUUUGGCUUUUUUGAACUUUGGAAAUUAUCCCCAAACUUGUGACUCUACAGAUAGCCUGCAUGGGGCUGUUUCCUUCUGGUGGAAAACCUGGAGCCAUGGAGAAGCUGAUCUCUGGGAAGUAUGUGCAGAAAGCACCCUAGAGAGGUGCAACACAACUGAAAUGGAACCACUGCGACUGCAAAAGUUCAUCACCCAUUGCAGACCACAUCUAACAUAGUAGGUCCUGCAUAGCAGCAGACAUAUCAUUUGGAAGCAGCCCAAUGAUCCCUCUGCCAAUUCCAGGCCUUGAGUAUUUGCCCAGGUAGGAAAGAAGCACAUGCAGUGUAACUGGGAGCUCUGACACCUUGUUGAAACGCCAGGACAGCUGGACACAAAGAAGACUUUUUCCAGGCUUGCUGGUGAGCUCUGUGUGUCCAGACAGGCUUUAGAGAAAAUCCUAACUGCCAGUUCUGAAGAGGAUCUCUUAUCUUUCAAGGCUGGUGUUAGGUUUCAAAAUCAGAUUUAUUUCAAUACUUGAGUUUUUGAAGACCAGAUCCUCUGUUGCUCCCUUGCUACCUUUCCAAACAAGCCUUCAUUUGCAGGUAGGGACUGUCACUUACAGGUAACAGGAACAAUUUUCUAUCAAGAGCUUUAUUACCUCUAAAGAUGGGUAUUUACUAAGCAAGGUAGAGCUUCUGCAUUUUUAUAAUGCAUAUUUAAAGAGUAGUUAAGCAA